rnacentral:rRNA from 1 species
GGGGCCCGCACAAGCGGAGGAGCAUGUGGUUUAAUUCGAUGAUACGCGAGGAACCUUACCUGGGCUCGAACGUAAGAUGACUGUAGGUGAAAGCUUACAUCUCUUCGGAGCAUUUUACGAGGUGCUGCAUGGUUGUCGUCAGCUCGUGCCGUGAGGUGUCGGGUUAAGUCCCAUAACGAGCGCAACCCCUACCUUUAGUUGCCAUCAGGUUAAGCUGGGGACUCUAAAGGAACUGCCUACGCAAGUAGUGAGGAAGCGGGGAUGACGUCAAAUCAGCACGGCCCUUACGUCCAGGGCUACACACGUGCUACAAUGGCCGAUACAGAGGGCAGCUACCUGGUGACAGGAUGCAAAUCUCCAAAGUCGGUCUCAGUUCGGAUCGGAGUCUGCAACCCGACUCCGUGAAGUUGGAUUCGCUAGUAAUCGCGCAUCAGCCAUGGCGCGGUGAAUACGUUCCCGGGCCUU